GACGAACGCUGGCGGCGUGCUUAACACAUGCAAGUCGAGCGGUAAGGCCCUUUCGGGGGUACACGAGCGGCGAACGGGUGAGUAACACGUGGGUGACCUGCCCUCAGCUCUGGGAUAAGCCCGGGAAACUGGGUCUAAUACCGGAUAUGACUCCAUGACGCAUGUUGUGGGGUGGAAAGCCUUGUGCGGCUGAGGAUGGGCCCGCGGCCUAUCAGCUUGUUGGUGGGGUGAGGCCUACCAAGGCGACGACGGGUAGCCGGCCUGAGAGGGCGACCGGCCACACUGGGACUGAGACACGGCCCAGACUCCUACGGGAGGCAGCAGUGGGGAAUCUUGCGCAAUGGGCGAAAGCCUGACGCAGCGACGCCGCGUGAGGGAUGACGGCCUCGGUUGUAAC
rnacentral:rRNA from 1 species